rnacentral:tRNA from 1 species
ACCUAAAUAGCUUAUAAUUAAGAGUAUGACAUUGAAGAUGUUAGGGAAAUAAUUUUAUUUUUAGGUA